AGUCGAACGGCAGCACGGACUUCGGUCUGGUGGCGAAGAGUGGCGAACAGGUGAGUAAUGUCGGAACGUGCCUAGUAGCGGGGGAUAACUACGCGAAAGCGUAGCUAAUACCGCAUACGCCCUUCGGGGAAAGCAGGGGACGCCUGGGCCUCGCACUAUUAGAGCGGCCGAUAUCGGAUUAGCUAGUUGGUGAGGUAACGGCUCACCAAGGCGACGAUCCGCUGGUUUGAGGACAUUGGCCACACUGGGACUGAGACGGCCAGACUCCUACAGGGAGGCAGCGGUGGGAAUUUUGGACAAUGGAAACCUGAUCAGCCUCGCGUGUGCGAUGAAGGCCUUCCCGGGUUACGUAAAACGCACUGGCGGGAAAGAAACGGCGCGGGAUAUGCCCCGUGCAACUGGCGGUACCUGCAGGGAAGCAAAGCACCGGCUAACUACGUGCCAGCAGCCGCGGUAAUACGUAGGGUGCAAGCGUUAAUCAGAUUACUGGGCGUAAAGCGUGCGCAGGCGGUUCGGAAGAAAGAUGUGAAAUCCCAGGCUUAACCUGGAACUGCAUUUUAACUACCGAGCUAGAGUGUGUCAGAGAGGGAGUGGAAUUCGCGUGUAGCAGUGAAAUGCAGCAGAUAUGCGGAGGAACACCGAUGGCGACAUGCCUCCUGGGAUAACACUGACGCUCAUGCACGAAAGCGUGAGGGAGCAAACAGGAUUAGAUACCCUGGUAGUCCACGCCUAAACGAUCAACUAGCUGUUGGGGCCUUCCGGGCCUUGGUAGCGCAGCUAACGUGAAGUUGACCGCCUGGGAAGUACGGUCGCAAGAUUAAAACUCAAAGGAAUUGACGGGGUUACACAAGCGGUGGAUGAUGUGGAUUAAUUCGAUGCAACGCGAAAACCUUACCUACCCUUGACAUGUCUGGAAUCACGAAGAUUUGGGAGUGCUCGCAAAGUGGAACACAGGUGCUGCAUGGCUGUCGUCAGCUCGUGUCGUGAGAUGUUGGGUUAAGUCCCGCAACUGGCUUCAACCCUUGUCAUUAGUUGCUACGAAAGGGCACUCUAGUAGACUGCCGGUGACAAACCGGAGGAAGGUGGGGAUGACGUCAAGUCCUCAUGGCCCUUGCUGGGUAGGGCUUCACACGUCAUACAAUGAAUCGGGACAGAGGGUCGCCAACCCGCGAGGGUAAUCCCGAGGAAACCCGAUCGUAGUCCGGAUCGCAGUCUGCAACUCGACUGCGUGAAGUCAGAAUCGCGCUAGUAAUCGCGGAUCAGCAUGUCGCGGUGAAUACGGGCUCCCGGGUCUUGUACACACACGCCCGUCACCAUGGGAGUGGGUUUUACCAGAAGUAGUUAGCCUAGCCGUAAGGAGGACGAUUACCACGGUAGGAUUCAUGACUGGGAGGUGAAGUCGUAACUAAGGUAG
rnacentral:rRNA from 1 species